rnacentral:rRNA from 1 species
ACGGGUGAGUAAUGUCUGGGAAACUGCCUGAUGGAGGGGGAUAACUACUGGAAACGGUAGCUAAUACCGCAUAAUGUCGCAAGACCAAAGAGGGGGACCUUCGGGCCUCUUGCCAUCGGAUGUGCCCAGAUGGGAUUAGCUAGUAGGUGGGGUAACGGCUCACCUAGGCGACGAUCCCUAGCUGGUCUGAGAGGAUGACCAGCCACACUGGAACUGAGACACGGUCCAGACUCCUACGGGAGGCAGCAUG